UACGUAGGGACCAAGCGUUGUUCGGAUUUACUGGGCGUAAAGGGCGCGUAGGCGGCAAUUCAAGUCAGUUGUGAAAUCUCCGAGCUUAACUCGGAACGGUCAACUGAUACUGUUUUGCUAGAGUGCAGAAAGGGCAACCGGAAUUCUUGGUGUAGCGGUGAAAUGCGCAGAUAUCAGGAAGAACACCCGUGGCGAAAGCAGCUCUCUGGAACGGUACUGACGCUGAGACGCGAAAGCGUGGGGAGCGAACAGG
rnacentral:rRNA from 1 species